UACGUAGGGUGCGAGCGUUAAUCGGAAUUACUGGGCGUAAAGCGUGCGUAGGUGGUUCGUUGUGUCUGUGGUGAAAGCCCCGGGCUUAACCUGGGAAUGGCCAUGGAAACUGGCGAGCUGGAGUCUGGCAGAGGGGGGGUGGAAUUCCGCGUGUAGCAGUGAAAUGCGUAGAGAUGCGGAGGAACACCGAUGGCGAAGGCAGCCCCCCUGGGCUAAGACUGACGCUGAGGCACGAAAGCGUGGGGAGCAAACAGG
rnacentral:rRNA from 1 species